rnacentral:rRNA from 1 species
CCUACGGAGGCUGCAGUGGGGAAUAUUGGACAAUGGGGGGAACCCUGAUCCAGCCAUGCCGCGUGUGUGAAGAAGGCCCUCGGGUUGUAAAGCACUUUCAGUGAGGAAGAACGCCUGGUGGUUAAUACCCAUCAGGAAAGACAUCACUCACAGAAGAAGCACCGGCUAACUCCGUGCCAGCAGCCGCGGUAAUACGGAGGGUGCGAGCGUUAAUCGGAAUUACUGGGCGUAAAGCGCGCGUAGGUGGCUUGAUAAGCCGGUUGUGAAAGCCCCGGGCUCAACCUGGGAACGGCAUCCGGAACUGUCAAGCUAGAGUGCAGGAGAGGAAGGUAGAAUUCCCGGUGUAGCGGUGAAAUGCGUAGAGAUCGGGAGGAAUACCAGUGGCGAAGGCGGCCUUCUGGACUGACACUGACACUGAGGUGCGAAAGCGUGGGUAGCAAACAGGAUUAGAUACCCGUGUAGUC